AACUAACGCUGGCGGCGUGCCUAACACAUGCAAGUCGAACGAGAAAGUUGGCUUCGGCCGAUGAGUAAAGUGGCGCACGGGUGAGUAACGCGUGGAUAAUCUGCCCUUUAGUUUGGAAUAACGUACCGAAAGGUGCGCUAAUACCGGAUAAUACUGAAUGACUACUGUUGUUUAGUCAAAGAAGGCUUCUGGUUACAUGCUUUUGCUGAAGGAUGAGUCCGCGUACCAUUAGCUAGUUGGUAGGGUAAUGGCCUACCAAGGCGACGAUGGUUAGCUGGUCUGAGAGGAUGAUCAGCCACACUGGAACUGAGACAGUCG
rnacentral:rRNA from 1 species